UAAAAGGACUUUCUUAAGUCCACACAAGUCCACAGUAGAAUCAUU
rfam:Monodelphis domestica chromosome 2, whole genome shotgun sequence.